rnacentral:rRNA from 1 species
GGUUCAUUCAAAUUUCUGCCCUAUCAACUUUCGAUGGUAAGGUAUUGGCCUACCAUGGUUUCAACGGGUAACGGGGAAUUAGGGUUCUAUUCCGGAGAAGGAGCCUGAGAAACGGCUACUACAUCCAAGGAAGGCAGCAGGCGCGCAAAUUACCCAAUCCCGACCGGGGAGGUAGUGACAAUAAAUACUGAUACAGGGCUCUUUAGGGUCUUGUAAUUGGAAUGAGUACAAUUUAAAUCUCUUAACGAGGAACAAUUGGAGGGCAAGUCUGGUGCCAGCAGCCGCGGUAAUUCCAGCUCCAAUAGCGUAUAUUAAAGUUGUUGCAGUUAAAAAGCUCGUAGUUG